rnacentral:rRNA from 1 species
CCUACGGGACGCAGCAGUAGGGAAUCUUCGGCAAUGGGGGCAACCCUGACCGAGCGACGCCGCGUGAGUGAAGAAGGUUUUCGGAUCGUAAAGCUCUGUUGUAGGAGAAGAACGUGUGUGAGAGUGGAAAGUUCACACAGUGACGGUAACUUACCAGAAAGGGACGGCUAACUACGUGCCAGCAGCCGCGGUCAUACGUAGGAUCCGAGCAUUAUCCGGAGUGACUGGGUGUAAAGAGUUGCGUAGGUGGCAUAGUAAGUAGCUAGUGAAAUCUGGUGGCUCAACCAUUCAGACUAUUAGCUAAA